rnacentral:rRNA from 1 species
GACGAACGCUGGCGGCGUGCUUAACACAUGCAAGUCGAACGAAAAGGCCCUGCUUUUGUGGGGUGCUCGAGUGGCGAACGGGUGAGUAACACGUGAGUAACCUGCCCUUGACUUUGUGAUAACUUCAGGAAACUGGGGCUAAUACCGGAUAGGAUCUCCUGCUGCAUGGUGUUGGUUGGAAAGUUUCGGCUGUUGUGGAUGUACUCGCUGCUUAUCCGCUUGUUUGUGGGGUAGUGGCUUACCAAGGCUUUGACGGGUAGCCGGCAUGAGAGGGUGACCGGCCUCAUUGGGACUGAGAUACGGCCCAGAAGCCUACGGGAGGCAGUAGGGGGGAAUAUGGCACAAUGGGCGGAAGCGUGAUGCAGAAACGCCGGGUGCGGGAUGACCGCCUUCGGGGGGUAAACCGCUGUCGCCUGUGACGAAGCGUGAGUGACGGUAAUGGGUAAAGAAGCACCGGCUAACUACGUG